rnacentral:rRNA from 1 species
GACGAACGCUGGCGGCGUGCCUAAUACAUGCAAGUAGAACGCUGAAGGAGGAGCUUGCUUCUCUGGAUGAGUUGCGAACGGGUGAGUAACGCGUAGGUAACCUGCCUGGUAGCGGGGGAUAACUAUUGGAAACGAUAGCUAAUACCGCAUAAGAGUAGAUGUCGCAUGACAUUUGCCUAAAAGGUGCAAUUGCAUCACUACCAGAUGGACCUGCGUUGUAUUAGCUAGUUGGUGAGGUAACGGCUCACCAAGGCAACGAUACAUAGCCGACCUGAGAGGGUGAUCGGCCACACUGGGACUGAGACACGGCCCAGACUCCUACGGGAGGCAGCAGUAGGGAAUCUUCGGCAAUGGACGGAAGUCUGACCGAGCAACGCCGCGUGAGUGAAGAAGGUUGUCGGAUCGUAAAGCUCUGUUGUAAGAGAAGAACGAGUGUGAGAGUGGAAAGUUCACACUGUGACGGUAUCUUACCAGAAAGGGACGGCUAACUACGUG